GUUGUGUUUAGUGUAUACUGAUCUAUGAUAUACCUAGCCUCUAUCCUUAGCAGCGAGGAAAUCUCUUUCUGGAUUAGAACCCUGCCCCAACAACAACAACAAAAAUAAGCAGGGUGUAUUCCUAAAUUUGGUCUUGCCAAUCUCAUCUGUGGCAGCAUAUAAUUGAACCAAUUUUCACUUCAGUGAAGACAAUGGACUCAGCUACCUGCAAAGGACAUCAACACUAUGGAGAUGCUCUUUGCUUUGAUCUUGUCCUCCGCUGAAGACAUCAGGCUUAGCAACAUUCCUGCGUGUCUAGAAUAUCUGUUCUCCCUUUGCUCCAAGGCAAGUACUGUAUGUAGAUGUCUCCAAAAUUGAAAUACUUCACAACAGCAUACUUUGAUCCUGGAAUACAGUAAACAGCAUGAUAAAUGGAAUUGUCCGGGGCUGUGUGGUCCAGACUAAAAAACUAAUAGAAGAAGAAUCAUCUUAAAGAGGUAUCAACUCAGAAGAAAGCUUCGAAAGAGAUAAAUUUACAUAUAUAGAAUGACUGAUGUUUUAUUCAAAUCCUGCUUUAGCCAAUGCAGUCCUUGAUGAGGAGAUCAAAACAC
rnacentral:lncRNA from 1 species